AAUUCAUGGUGUGGCCACUUCUGAAAUAAUGUUUUAAAACAUCCCCAUGCUUCGUGAAAGUAUUCCCCUUCUAACUACUUAAACAUUGAAAUUUCCCUUCUUAGCU
rfam:Gossypium raimondii Chr04_contig_368, whole genome shotgun sequence.